GUGGAUUAGGGUUUGUCGCAGUUCCUCUUCAAGCUCCGGCCUCUCGCUGUCCUACUCGCGCAACCGAGCUCUGGAAUCAUCAACGUCGCGGAUUCGUACAAACAGAGGCUGUGGUGAAGCUGAAAAUAUUGCUGUGUAGCGAUAGCCUUGAGAGAAGGGGCAUGGUAGAUGCUGGGACGAGCGAUCGUGGUCUGUGAGCGUAGGCUUUGAGUCCACCAGGUUGUACAGAUGGGUACCAAUCCCAAAACAACCCUCUACGUCGGUGGUUUGGAGGAAAACGUAACGGAGCAAGUCGUGCAUGCAGCUUUCAUCCCCUUCGGUGAUGUCAAGGAUAUCUCAAUGCCGUUAGACCAGGCAACACAGAAGCACCGUGGUUUUGCUUUUAUCACUUAUUUUGAGAAAGAAGAUGCAGCAGCUGCAAUGGACAACAUGCACAAUGGUGAAUUGUACGGUCGUGUUCUCACCGUCAAUUAUGCACAGCCACAGAAAAUAAAGGGAGGAGAACAAGGGUGGGCCUCUCAAGCAGUGUGGGCGGACGCCGACACAUGGUUUGAGCGACAACAGCAAGAGGAAGAGAUGAAGCGUCUGAACGCGGAGCAUCAGGCGACUGUGAGUGCUGCCGAAGAAGCGGAUAGGAAGAAAUUGCAAGAGGUUCGAGAAGGUGAAACUGAAGCCGACGAUGCCACGGAUGAUCCUAUGGCUGCAGCCGAAGCCGAAGCUCUUAAAUCCACGUAGAAGGCUGAUUCUUUUGAUUUUGAUUUAAUUAUUUUGGAUUCAUUGUACAUCCUGAACAAUAGCUGGCGAAUGGGGAUGUUUAUGUUUAACUUUUGGGAAGUUUCAAUGCACUGGCUUUUUGGAUAGGAGGGGAGCUGAAACUGCGUACAACAUGUAGAAAUAAUCAUUUGAAGAAGAAGUACUAUCUCGUCCUCGAUAGCAGUCAGGAAACUAUUUGAGUUUUACAACCCGCUAUGUUCAAGUUUUACUUGGAUAUGAAAUUGGAGAACCUUGAUGUUGAAGGCAAACCCUUUUGUUGCAACUACAAUAGCAUUGAUGGUUUGGUCCUUGGUCAUUAGAAGCAAUUCAUAUUUGUUUUUGUAGGUUCAAGAAUAACCUCUCACCUCUCCUUUGUGCUGGUCUAUAUCGAGGUCUUAGCAAGCUUUUGUUCAAGCCCUUGUGUGUGGGUUAGCCCCCAUGGGCGAGGCUUUAGUCCUUUUCCUAAUUGGUAGAGGCCUAGUACAUAGCUUUCUUCUAUGCUUCUCGAUGCAUCUCUGAUUCAUCUUUUGUUUCUUGGAGGUUUAAAUUACACAAUGCUAUUUUUUGGUUG